AAAGAAUAUAGAUGAUAUCACAGACAUCUUUCCUUUUUACAGCUUUGCCGCAUUCUUUUCAGUGGCUCCAGAGUGUUCCAACUCUAUGAAUGCACCCCAAUUCAUUUUAUGAGCCCCCAUAACGGAGAUUCAUAAUCCAAAGUUUUCUUGACAAAAGGUAACAGAGAGAAGUUAUCAUUUGAACUUGAGAAGCUUAGAAGUUUGGCUUUCACGGGUACCACAGCACUCUAUGGAACAGUCCUGGUGAUGAAGAGGUCGCCAGCGAAAUAAACCACAGCCUGCAGCUCUCUGGACCAAAGAAGGUGCCUCUGUCCUUGGCAAACAGAUGUGGCCUUUCCAGGAGCUGUGUGUGAUACUCCUGCAAACCCCUCCUACUUCAGAGCCACAGCUGACCGGGAAACCUGCCACCUUGG
rnacentral:lncRNA from 1 species